rnacentral:rRNA from 1 species
GAUGAACGCUAGCUACAGGCUUAACACAUGCAAGUCGAGGGGUAACAUUGGCUGAGCUUGCUCAGCCAGAUGACGACCGGCGCACGGGUGAGUAACGCGUAUCCAACCUUCCCAUCACUCAGGGAUAGCCCGCCGAAAGGCGAAUUAAUACCUGAUGGUCUCCUUUGCAGACAUCUAACGAGGAGUAAAGAUUCAUUGGUGAUGGAUGGGGAUGCGUCUGAUUAGGUAGUAGGCGGGGUAACGGCCCACCUAGCCGACGAUCAGUAGGGGUUCUGAGAGGAAGGUCCCCCACAUUGGAACUGAGACACGGUCCAAACUCC